rnacentral:tRNA from 1 species
AGCAUGUUAGAAAUUAUGCCCCAACGUUCGUAAUGAUGGGGUCGCAGGUUCGAGUCCUGCAAGCGGCACCA